CCUCCUUUUCUUGGCAGGGCCGGGGGUCUCGGUGCCCGGCUCUGUAAUGUCCGGAGGGAAAGCAAAGCAACACCCAGCAUUCUGUCUUCGGUGCCAGUGGCACUCCCAUCCGCUGGUUCUAUCCUCAAGUGCUGGGACAUUC